GAUGAACGCUGGCGGCGUGCCUAAUACAUGCAAGUCGAGCGAACAGACGAGGAGCUUGCUCCUCUGACGUUAGCGGCGGACGGGUGAGUAACACGUGGAUAACCUACCUAUAAGACUGGGAUAACUUCGGGAAACCGGAGCUAAUACCGGAUAAUAUAUUGAACCGCAUGGUUCAAUAGUGAAAGACGGUUUUGCUGUCACUUAUAGAUGGAUCCGCGCCGCAUUAGCUAGUUGGUAAGGUAACGGCUUCCAAGGCAACGAUGCGUAGCCGACCUGAGAGGGUGAUCGGCCACACUGGAACUGAGACACGGUCCAGACUCCUACGGGAGGCAGCAGUAGGGAAUCUUCCGCAAUGGGCGAAAGCCUGACGGAGCAACGCCGCGUGAGUGAUGAAGGUCUUCGGAUCGUAAAACUCUGUUAUUAGGGAAGAACAAAUGUGUAAGUAACUAUGCACGUCUUGACGGUACCUAAUCAGAAAGCCACGGCUAACUACGUG
rnacentral:rRNA from 1 species